rnacentral:rRNA from 1 species
UACGGAGGGAGCAAGCGUUAAUCGGAAUUACUGGGCGUAAAGCGUGCGUAGACGGUUAUUUAAGUCGGGUGUGAAGGCCCCGGGCUCAACCUGGGAAUUGCAUUCGAGACUGAAUAGCUAGGGUACGGUAGAGGGAAGCGGAAUUUCCGGUGUAGCGGUGAAAUGCGUAGAUAUCGGAAGGAACAUCAGUGGCGAAAGCGGCUUCCUGGACCAGUACCGACGUUCAGGCACGAAAGCGUGGGGAGCAAACAGG